AUACGGAGGAUCCGAGCGUUAUCCGGAUUUAUUGGGUUUAAAGGGAGCGUAGGUGGAUUGUUAAGUCAGUUGUGAAAGUUUGCGGCUCAACCGUAAAAUUGCAGUUGAAACUGGCAGUCUUGAGUACAGUAGAGGUGGGCGGAAUUCGUGGUGUAGCGGUGAAAUGCUUAGAUAUCACGAAGAACUCCGAUUGCGAAGGCAGCUCACUAGACUGUUACUGACACUGAUGCUCGAAAGUGUGGGUAUCAAACAGGAUUAGAUACCCUGGUAGUCCACACAGUAAACGAUGAAUACUCGCUGUUUGCGAUAUACAGUAAGCGGCCAAGCGAAAGCAUUAAGUAUUCCACCUGGGGAGUACGCCGGCAACGGUGAAACUUAAAGGAAUUGGCGGGG
rnacentral:rRNA from 1 species